AAUUGACCUCGGAUCAGGUAGGGAUACCCGCUGAACUUAAGCAUAUCAAUAAGCGGAGGAAAAGAAACCAACCGGGAUUGCCUCAGUAACGGCGAGUGAAGCGGCAACAGCUCAAAUUUGAAAUCUGACCCUGUCGGGGUUCGAGUUGUAAUUUGUAGAGGAUGUUUCGGGCGCGAAGCCGGUCUAAGUCCCUUGGAACGGGGCGUCAUAGAGGGUGAGAAUCCCGUCUGUGACCGGCGAUCAAGCCUCUGUGAAACUCCUUCGACGAGUCGAGUUGUUUGGGAAUGCAGCUCAAAAUGGGUGGUAAAUUUCAUCUAAAGCUAAAUACUGGCCAGAGACCGAUAGCGCACAAGUAGAGUGAUCGAAAGAUGAAAAGCACUUUGGAAAGAGAGUCAAAAAGUACGUGAAAUUGUUGAAAGGGAAGCGCUUGCAACCAGACCUGCCCGCGGGCGAUCAGCCGUCCCUUCCAGGGCGGUGCACGCGCCCGCGAACAGGCCAGCAUCGGUUCGGGCGGCCGGAUAAAGGCCCGGGGAACGUAGCUCCUCUCGGGGAGUGUUAUAGCCCCGGGUGCAAUGCGGCCCGCCUGGACCGAGGACCGCGCUUCGGCUAGGAUGCUGGCGUAAUGGUUGUAAGCGGCCCGUCUUGAAACACGGACCAAGGAGUCUAACAUCUAUGCGAGUGUUUGGGUGUCAAACCCAUGCGCGUAAUGAAAGUGAACGGAGGUAGGAACCCACCAGGGCGCACUAUCGACCGAUCCUGAAGUCUUCGGAUGGAUUUGAGUACGAGCAUAGCUGUUGGAACCCGAAAGAUGGUGAACUAUGCCUGAAUAGGGUGAAGCCAGAGGAAACUCUGGUGGAGGCUCGCAGCGGUUCUGACGUGCAAAUCGAUCGUCAAAUUUGGGUAUAGGGGCCGAAAAGACUAAUCGAACAUCUAGUAGCCUGGUCAGCCGAAGUUC
rnacentral:rRNA from 1 species